UUCAUUUCAUUUCAUUUAUUUUAUUUUAUUUUAUUUUAUUUUAUUGUACUUUUUUAGAAUAAAUUUUAAAAGGCUUCCUAGACAAGUGACUUUUUAAACUGUUUGGAAGAAAGGUCAAGAAUGACAGAAAAGUCAAGACAGAGAAGGAGCAAGACAGGUGAGGGUUAACAUGGUGACUGUGGGCAUGGAAAGGAAUGGGUGGAUCCCGGAGCCUGGCCAUGUGCUGAUAGUCGAGUAAAAUCAACAAACUGGUACAAAAAGUCUGGACUCCAGAUGCCCUUCCCUUUGCAUAUCUUCUAAGUGUAACUUGCGUAGGUCUAUAGAGUUGACAAUUAGGGCCAAGAAAAAGUCGUCAUCUGAGCUUAAAUUCUAUCUUAUGACCUUUAAACAUUCUUCUUCCAUUCAAUUCUUUGAAAUAUCAUUUCCUCUGGCGAGGUAACUUUUUCCAGUGGGAGCUUGUUGGUGAGUUUUUGGUCCUGACUUUAACCUUGUCAGAACAAUUGGACAGAAUUACAAGUGUUAGUUAAUGCUUUGCACAGCGCUUGUUCUCCUCAUGUCCUCAGAUCCCCCCAUAAAGUUCCAUGUUGUUGAGAAGACUCUAUCACAUCCAGACCUGCAGGCUUUCAGAGAUGUGGGGGGAUAUUACUGGACAUGUGCUGAUCAAGGGCUGAGCUGGGUUCUGCUGAGGCUACAGUUGGGAUGGAAUCCACCAGCCCCUACCUGAGACACUUCCCAUGCAGGACACUUCAGCCUCAACCACACCUCAACUCUUCACCAGACCACACAUCUGCAGAGUGCAUACGUCAAAGAGAUAGGAAGAUGUGCCAAGGAAUAUGUGGAUUUUCCCCCUUCAUAUUGGUUAACUUUGUAACUUUCCCUAUCGUUCUGGAUUACCAGAUACCCAAAAAGGGGUACUCCUAAUUCCUCAUUUAAAUUGUCUUUCUUCUAUAAACAGUGUUGUUCAAACCUAUCAGUUUUGUCUAUACUGUGGUAUUCUCUGUGCAUCCAGAAAAAGACCCUAAAUAAAGAACCAUACAAUGGAGGAAUUUAAAACAGGGAUCUCAGUAAUUAUCUCAUCAAAGUCCCUAACUGUACAGAGUAAACUGCAACCCAGAAAGGGAAUGUGGCCUGGCCACUGUCACUUGGGCAUGUUAUAGUUCUUUGAUUAUAUUAAGGACUAAAAUUGUUCCGACAAUUUGAUUUAUGUCUUUAAUGUAACUGCAACUACAAAAAACAACUAACGAGUUCCCGCCAUUAACUAGAAUGCUUUGCUCCAUUCCCUUUAAAAACACACUUAUCAUAAGAAGUCAAAAUAGAUUUCAUAUUUCCGUGGAAAAAAAUUGUAAGCUUCAUCUGGGGAUUAUAUCAUACCUCCGUAGGCCCACCUCCCUUCUCCCUUAAAUUUACGUAACAUAAAAAAAGGACAUAGAGGUGACAAUCAGGCACCUGUUCUUCUGUCUCAACUUCCUCUAGAACAGCAUUUUUCAUAGCAGCACUGCUGACAUUUUAGGCUGAGUAAUUCUUUGUUGUGGGGCUAUCCUGUGUCUUGUUUAUGUUUAUCAGCAUCUCAGGUCUCUACUUACUUGAUGCCAGUAGCAAACUGUCUCUCUCUGCUGCUCCAGUUAUGAGAACCAAAAAGCCUCUAGACACUGUCAAAUGUCCCAUGGGAGAUAAAUUACUCCCUCUAUUUUAGAACCACUGGAUCUAGAACACACUGUGGUUAUGAAGGUUAUUCUGAGAAGUCCUGUCAGAAGUUUCUCAUCAGUAUUUGUAUUCCACUCCCUCACUCCACCAGUUCUAUUAUUGCUGUAAUUCCCACACUGGAGGCAACACUAUCCCUUAUUGUUCAUAAUGCCCUCACACAAAACUAUACAGGCUUAUCACACUUAGCAAAGAGUGGAUAUAACUGAGAAAAUAUACAACACUGAAGGUCAAAACUGAAAGUCAUAUAUUAAAAAUAGCUUUUUGGGCACCUGGGUGGCUCAGUGGUUGAGCAUCUGCCUUUGGCUCAGGUCAUGAUCCUGGGGUCCUGGGAUCGAGUCCCACAUCGGGCUCCCCGCAGGGAGCCUGCUUCUCCCUCUGCCUAUGCUCCUGCCUCUCUCUGUGUGUCUCUCAUGAAAAAAUAAAUAAAAAUCUUAAAAAAAUAAAAAUAACGUUUCAUCAUAAUCCAAGAGAACUAUAUUAGUUAUCUAAUGCUGUGUAGUAAAUAGCCCCAAAUUGAAGCUAACCUAACCUAUUAAAAAUAAAGCCAAAACAACUACCUGUUAUUUCACACAGUUUCUGAGGGGCAGGAAUCUGAGUAGCUUAGCUGCACAGCUCUGAGAUGUCAAUAAGCUGUUGGCCAGAACUACAGACAUCUCCAGGCUAUACUAAGCCUGGAGACUCUGCCUUCAAACUUACUCAUGUGGGUCUUGGAACGCUAGCAGACCUCAGCUCCUCACUGGCUGUUGGCCAUAGGCUUCAGUUCCUUGCCAUGUGGGCCUCUCUGCAGAGCUGCUCGCUCCAUGGCAGUUGGCUUCUUCCAGAAUGAGGGAUGAGAGAGAGAGAGAGACAGAGGCAAGGGGAGGGGGUAGAGAACAGGAGCUUCAGGUUUCACCUCUUCUAUAUGUUAUUGUUUCCACAGACCAGCCUUGGUAGAAUGUAAGAAGGGACAGCACAAAGAUCGGAAGCAGAGGUGAGGCCCACAGAGGGCCAUUUUGGAAGCUGCCUACUAUGGAAACCCCUCAUCUGAGGAUGGAAAGGGAUUUGUAUCUCAUCAGAACAAUGACCUUGAAGCACCACAUAAUCAAAAUAACUCAACCUACCCCAUUCCUUAAGUGACAACAGUAAACCAAUUCAGUUUAGAAGAACUUUCAACAAAAGCAGAGUUUCAGUUGCCUCUUUUCAAUAGAAAAAAAAAUAAUUAAGCGAGAACAUAUUACUUGUUUCAAUUAGCCACAAUUUCAUGAAAGCUAUUCAUCAAGCUCUAUUUAUCAAAUAUUUUUUGAGAACCUUCUCUGAGUUAGACAUUUGCUUGUGUAUUGCUAAACUACAAAUCACCUCAAAACAAUGUCAAUUUAUGUGGGUCAGAGGUUGGGGUAAGGUUCAGCUGGGCAGUUCUGCUCUAGGUGGCACCGGCUGGGGUCAUUUACUCAGUUGUAUUCAUGUGGUUGCAGACAUGGGCAGGAGGUCCACAGAAGCUUCACUCAUGUGUCUGGUGUCCUUGUGUUCUUCUAAGUGGCCCCUCUCUUUCUGAGGAUAAUGGCCAUGGACUUCCUCAGGGAAUAAUGGUAGGACUUCAUUCAUUGUGGAUGAUUGCCAAGAGCAAAAGACGAAGAUGCUACACCUUUUCAAGUCUUUGCCUAGAAUUGGCAUAGUAUCACUUCCACCUCAUUUCAUUGGUCAAAGUGAGUCACUUUCAGAAAGUAUCCCCUUAUGGAAAGUUCUCUCAUGUCUUCAAACUUUUGGCCUAAUGCCUUUGACUUCUAGACUUAGAUUCAAAGGAAUUAUGUGAUUAGGUCAGGCCCGCCCAGAUCAUCUUCCUAUCUUAAGGUCAACUGAUUUUGGGCCUCAAUUAACGCUGCAGUACCUUUCCAUAGCAGCACUUAGAUUAGUGCUUGAAUGAAUAACUGGGAGAGAGUGUAUACAACAGGGACUACAAAUCUUAGGGACUCUUUUAGAAUUCUGUCUGCCAAAGUGAGACAGCUGGUAAAAUUUGAGCAUUUGUAGAUUAAUUAAUAGUAUCAUAUCAAUGCUAAUUUCUGCCUUAGAUAUUGUACACUGGUUAUAUAAAAUGUUAACAUUAGCAGAAGCUGGGUGAAUAGUAUGUGGGAACGAGAUGUACUAUUUUUGGAAGUUUUUGUAAAUCUACAAUUAUUUAAAAUAAAAAGUUUGACAAAAAAAAAGGCAGGUCACCAGACCAGGCCGGGUUCCAGGAAAAGGGAAAUCAAGUUCAUCUCUUGGUAGGAACAGAGGCAAGUGCAUAUAGGGAAGGAGGAAUUGAUGAUGACCAUCUUUGAAGAUCACCUAUUACAGACACCAUGAGUAAUAAAAAUAAUGAAUACGACCAGUUCCUUUCUCAGAGAACAUGUAAUCUGGGUGGGUGAGAGAAUGUCUAUCCAACAGAUAUUUACUGUGGAUCUCCCACAGAGUAAGCAUCGUGAUAAUCCCUGGAGACACAAGGGUGAUGAAGGUACCCGCAAGGAUAUUAUAGUUUAAUGG
rnacentral:lncRNA from 1 species